GCGCUAGUAGCUCAGUCCUAGAGCGCCGGUCUUGUAAACCGGAGGCCGGAAGUUAGAUCCCUCCCUACCGCU
rnacentral:tRNA from 1 species